rnacentral:rRNA from 1 species
UACGGAGGGGGCUAGCGUUGUUCGGAAUUACUGGGCGUAAAGCGCACGCAGGCGGCUUUGUAAGUUAGAGGUGAAAGCCCGGGGCUCAACUCCGGAAUUGCCUUUAAGACUGCAUCGCUAGAAUUGUGGAGAGGUAAGUGGAAUUCCGAGUGUAGAGGUGAAAUUCGUAGAUAUUCGGAGGAACACCAGUGGCGAAGGCGACUUACUGGACACAUAUUGACGCUGAGGUGCGAAAGCGUGGGGAGCAAACAGG